ACAAGUAGCACAAAGAAACUACGUUCUGGGCGUGGCUGCUGAGUUUCAUGACCCUGUGGUAUGUGCUGGAAGGAUUUCUUGUGCAUCCAGGAGGAGCAGGAUAAGAUUUCACUGGGUGGAUUAUUUCCAAGAAGCAAGAAAACUUCUCAGCAUGGCUUUUAG
rnacentral:lncRNA from 12 species